rnacentral:lncRNA from 1 species
AGCCUACCUAUUGUAUAUUCCUCCUUGUGGUUAACCUAUUGUAUAUUCCUCCUCUGGGUUAACUAGACCUGUGAUCUUUGCUACCUAUUUCUUUUAUCUUAAUAGAUAAUGUGAGAGAUAGGCGAUGAAAUGGUGGUUGUAAAUACCUCCUAAAUUAAUGGUAUAAAAAACUCCUGGUAAAUUCAUUGUGCAAACUCAUCUGCUUGUAAAUUCAUUG